GACGAACCGUGCGAACGUUGUUCGGAAUCACUGGGCUUAAAGGGCGCGUAGGCGGAUGAUCAAGUCGGUGGUGAAAUCCUCCCGCUUAACGGGAGAACGGCCUUCGAUACUGAUCGUCUCGAGCAAGGUAGGGGUGUGUGGAACUUCCGGUGGAGCGGUGAAAUGCGUAGAGAUCGGAAGGAACGCCGGUGGCGAAAGCGACGCACUGGACCUUUUCUGACGCUGAGGCGCGAAAGCCAGGGGAGCGAACGGG
rnacentral:misc_RNA from 1 species